CCAUCCCAGUUCGGAUUGUAGGCUGCAACCCGCCCUGCAUGAAGUUGGAAUUGCUAGUAAUCGCGGAUCAGCAUGCCGCGGUGAAUACGUUCCCGGGGAUUGUACACACCGCCCGUCACACCAUGAGAGUCGGGAACACCCAAAGUCCGUAGUCUAACCGCAAGGAGGGCGCGGCCUAAGGUGGGUUCGAUAAUUGGGGUGAAGUCGUAACAAGGUACC
rnacentral:rRNA from 1 species